rnacentral:rRNA from 1 species
GACGAACGCUGGCGGCGUGCCUAACACAUGCAAGUCGAACGGAACUGUUUUGAAAGAUUUCUUCGGAAUGAAUUUGAUUUAGUUUAGUGGCGGACGGGUGAGUAACGCGUGAGUAACCUGCCUUCAAGAGGGGGAUAACAUUCUGAAAAGAAUGCUAAUACCGCAUGACAUAUCGGAACCACAUGGUUUUGAUAUCAAAGAUUUUAUCGCUUGAAGAUGGACUCGCGUCCGAUUAGUUAGUUGGUGAGGUAACGGCUCACCAAGACCGCGAUCGGUAGCCGGACUGAGAGGUUGAACGGCCACAUUGGGACUGAGACACGGCCCAGACUCCUACGGGAGGCAGCAGUGGGGGAUAUUGCGCAAUGGGGGCAACCCUGACGCAGCAACGCCGCGUGAAGGAUGAAGGUUUUCGGAUUGUAAACUUCUUUUAUUAAGGACGAAAAAUGACGGUACUUAAUGAAUAAGCUCCG